rnacentral:tRNA from 1 species
GCGCACGGACCAAGCUGGAGACGGGACCAGAUUGUCGAUCUGGACAGUGGCGAGUUCGAUCCUCGUCGUGCGCGCCA